rnacentral:rRNA from 2 species
UUAACUGGGUUGUAUGCGGGCGCGAAACUUUCCCAUACCAUGCCAACUGGAAAAAGGGGAUCCCAAAGUGGAAGGGCAUACAGCCCUCGCUAAAUAAAAAACCGUAAGGUGGUACAGGAACAAGAGCUGGGCAAGACCGGUGCCAGCCCGCCGCGGUAAUACCGGCAGCUCGAGUGAUGGCCGAUUUUAUUGGGCCUAAAGCGUCCGUAGCUGGCCGCGCAAGUCCGUCGGGAAAUCCACCCGCUCAACGGAUGGGCGUCCGGCGGAAACUCCGCGGCUUGGGACCGGAAGGCUCGAGGGGUACGUCCGGGGUAGGAGUGAAAUCCCGUAAUCCUGGACGGACCGCCGAUGGCGAAAGCACCUCGAGAGGACGGAUCCGACAGUGAGGGACGAAAGCUAGGGUCUCGAACCGGAUUAGAUACCCGGGUAGUCCUAGCCGUAAACGAUGCCCGCUAGGUGUGGCACCCGCUACGAGCCGGUGCUGUGCCGUAGGGAAGCCGAUAAGCGAGCCGCCUGGGAAGUACGUCUGCAAGGAUGAAACUUAAAGGAAUUGGCGGGGGAGCAC